rnacentral:lncRNA from 1 species
GGCUAUUCUUCUUCAUUAAGAAUAAUUCAUAACAGUGGACCCCUCAUAAAGGAGUCAAAUCAUAUCAGUAUCAGUAUGCUAGUUCUACCUUCCCACUAGCGAGGGUUGUAACAUUCAUCAGAAAAUAAAAGGUGCACUAGGCUUAACGAUCCCGCCAUUAGCUACGGGAUUCAAAUCAAGGUUUACUCCCAUUUAUAAAUUCUUUGUAAACAAUAGGAUAUUCAUAUAAAAACAUUUUUCAGAAUAAUACAUAUCAUUUAAAGUUCAUAUCAAAUCAUGUUACAUAUAAACUUGAGUAAAAACACAUGUCAAAAAUACUUAUUUCUCAUGUAAGUGAAAAUAUUCACCGUAAUAAUAUCAUAUCUUAAAUAACCAUUUCAAUAUCAUAUCAAGAUCAUAUCUUAAAUAGCCAUUUCAAUAUCAUAUCGAGAUCAUAUCUCAAAUAACUUUUUUUUCAAUAUCAUAUCGAGAUCAUAUCUCAAAUAACUUUUUUUUCAAUAUCAUAUCAAGAUCAUAUCUCAAAUAACCUUUUCAAUAUCAUAUCAAAAUCAUAUCUUAAAUAACCGUUUCAAUAUCAUAUCAAAUAAAGGAUUUGUCCCACGUACAAUUUCAAAGUAUAUCAUAACUCAUUGUUUCAUAAAAAAUAUGUAUAAAUAUGCAAUUUAAUAAACGCAAAUCGUGAUAAGAUUACUACUCACAGUACAACUUUCGAAAUACCAACUUGUCACCUCGAACAAUUGAUAGGACUCCCUUCGAUCGAAUCUUAAACCCCAAAGAAUUUUUUUUGAUCAAACCUUAAGCUUCCCCUUUUUUUUUCUUUUACACAGGACGAACUUGCUUUUUUUUUUUUUUUUAGAUCUGAUUCGUAUAGUUAGCAGAGCACUGGCUGUUGCUAAGGCAAGGCCCUUAAUAUAUAUAUAUCUACUACUCUUUAACAUUCUCAAUAUAAAAUAAUUAAGAAAAAUGGCCUCACAUGCUUUCUAUACUUUUUCCUUUUCCUUUUUAGAAAUUGGAUUAGGCGUGGUCUUUAACCCCCAAUAUAAAUAUAAUAAUGUUUCCAUUCCAUAAUGGAUUGGGAUAUGGCGCCGCCCCACUCUUUGUUAUUUCUUUACAAUUCUUUUUUUUUUUUAUCCUUUUGUAAUUAUAAUUACUCACUAAUUAAAAUUUGGGUAUUACAUUCUCCCCACCUUAAGAAAUUCGGUCCCCGAAUUUAAAACAAGUGCAUACCUGAAGACUGAAAUAAAGUCUCAUAUCCUUUUCUGACUUUCACGUAGCUUUUUCAAUGAUAUGGUUCUUCCAUAAGACUUCACGUACACAAACUCUUUUGAACGUAACCUUCUUACUUGUUGAUCAAUGAUAGCCACUGGUUCCUCCUCAUAGGUUAAGUUCUCCUCAAGUUGUAAGGUCGGUGCUUAGAGCACGCGAGAAGAAUUUGAUAUACAUUUCAUUAGCAUUGAGAUAUGAAACACUGGAUGGAUGAAAGACAUCUCGGGGGGAGUGCCACACGAUAUGCCACUCCUCCUAUAUGCUCAGUAUGUCAUAAGGUCCUACAUCCCUCGGGCUUCAUUUACCUCUUUUUUCGAAUCGCAUCACAUCCUUCAUAGGAGAGACUCGUAGAAAAACCUUAUCCCCAACUGUGAACACCAAAUUUCUUCUCCUCUUGUCAAUAUAAUUCUUCCAAUUUGCUUAACUUAUAAGCGACAUUUGUCUGGUUAGGUGGACCGUAUCAAUAGUCCCUUGGAACAACUUAGGGCACAAUACCUUAGCCUAGCCGUUUCGACUAUUCGGUGGUUGAACGAUAUCCCUUGGUAUAUAAGCUUUACUUGGAUCCAUUCUAAUGCUUGACUGAAAGUUGUUGUUGCCAGCAAAUUCAACUUAGAGUAGGUUAAGUAUUUCUAUUACCUCCAAAAUAAAAAUUGCAGGCUCUGAACAUGACCUUUAAGAUUUGUAUUGUCAACUCAAAUUUCCCCUAUGGUUGCAGAUAAAAAUGCAGUACCAAGAAUUUCUCUUGUACUCGAGGCUUCUUGAAAAGAUUUUUCAAGAUCGAGAAGUAUACAGUGAUCUUCUAUCGAACAUUCUAGUCACUGGAACCUUUGGGGUCUUAUAAUGUUAUUUGAGUAAAUAUUUUUUUUCCAGCAUAAACACUCAUCCAUCUUUAUAUGAAGUUUCCUCAUUGGACUACACCAAUGAGGUUUUGGCUCGCAAAUAAGACAACAGUUUCUAUAACUUAUCUUCAUUGAACUUGAUAACUGUGCUCUUGAGUCACUGCACACCUUUAGCCAGAUUGUACUAAUUAUAUGUGUCAAACUACUCAUAAAUUUUCGUCUCAAUGCAUCCUCUGGAUAUGAUAUAAUACUGUACAAUCAUAGUUUUGAAUUGUUCUAUCCACAACCUUGCUGAAUAUUAUAUAUCUUAGUUGAAAAACUCUAUUUAGUUCACUUGUGGUCGGUAAAAUAUCACAUGUUUCAUCGUAUAUGCAAUGCCUCAAAAUCUUCAUCACAAGUUUGAUUGUAAUCAUUUUCAAAUUAUGAGCCAGGGUCUAUCGGAAACAGCCUUUCUACUUCUUUAGAGGUAGAGGUAUGGACUGCGUACAUCUUACCCCAGACCCCACUAGGUGGGAAUACACUGGGUUUGUUAUUGUUUGUUGUUGUUGAGUGGACUGGUUCUACUCCUGCUUACCUAGUUUUCUCGAAUAAGCUAUUAAAUCACCUUCUAUGUGCGAACAUACCCUAAUUCCACCCUUAUAAGGCAUCACGAAGUACUAUGAAUACUCUAGAUUCUGACAAAAAUUCGACACAGGUAUGGUCGUUAAUAGUCUCGAGCUUUUGUAACCUCUACUUAUAUUUCUUCAUCCACAAAACUUUGGAUUUUUUUUCCCGUCUUCAUAGUAUCCAUCGUAAUGCUACAAUACUAUCAUCCAGAUACAUUACGCUUGGGAAAUGUCACUGAAUCUAGUUAAAACCCAUACGUGAAGAACUUGGCCUAAGGUUGAUAUUCUUGUCGUGUAAUUUGAAAUAUAACCUUGAGGUGCUCCUUAUGUUCUCCCAGGAACGAGGAUAUACUCGAAUAUAAUCCAUAAACACCGGUGCAAAUCAUUCAAGACAAGUAUUGAAAAUCACAUUCCUCAAGUCCAUGAAAGCAAGUGGUGCAUUGGUCAUCCCGAAGAUAGCAUAAGGAACUUAUCAUGCAUUCAUCGUGUUCUAAAAGCUAUCUCAGAAAUAUUUAUAUCAGAUCCUAAGAUUAUGAUAACCAGCCAAAAGUCAAUAUUCGGAAAAAAAAAUUGGAAGUCUCUUUGUAACUAAUCACAUAAAUCGCCUUUAUGAGGUAAUAGUAACCUAUUGCAUAGUUCAACCUUUAGCAACCAAUGUAUACUCAUGUCUCAUGCCUUUCCUUUCCCCUUUUUUUUCCACAAAAAAGUAUCUGUUCACAAUUAGUUUUUAUAAAGCCUUUUUCAGUAAGUCACAACAAUGUUCCUUUCUCUCUGAACUCAAGGUGCCAUAAGAUAUUGAGGUAUAGAUAUGGGUUUGGUGUUAGGUACCAAAUUAUUAUCAAACUUUACUUCUUCCACAUGGGGUAGUCAACACAUUUUCAUAACAAAUGCAUCAUCUUACACUCUCACUAAUGUCACUUUCCCAACAAAGUGUAAGAUCUAUUGUAUGCCUUACCAUCAAUAGGAGAGAAUACCAUUUCUUGACCAUAGGUAGGGAGGCAUAACUAUUUUUCUACACAAAUCGUUAUAAUAAAAGAUAUAACACUACUCAUCUGUACAACUCCCUUUUUCUUCUUUUGCUUCUUCCCUUAAAAAGUUGGUUUAUUGGUUCUCAGGCAUCUAUGUUCUUGUGGCAAUUGAAAGUACUUUCGUGGGACGAUAACUCAUCCAUACCGAACGACAUAUUAAAAUUAAUCAUAUAAAUACAAUCUGAUUAGUAACGUAUUCCUUCUCUCAACUUGAGAUUGGCUAGUAUUAUACACAAGUUCAGCUAACGAAAGAAAAUCCCACAAAAGUAGCAACCAUUACAGUACUUCCCAAUCUCCAAGUGUUCAUAAUUUCUAGUCGUUGACUAGUACUAAAUUUCUCAUGGAAGGAUUUGUUGGUUUUGACCUCAUCAAUUAAAUGCUUGAUUUUCCACUUCACAUUGCGUAUUUUAAAUCCUUUGAGCAAUACCAACUACCUCAAAAUAUGUUAAAGUCUUCUUAUUUGGGGUUUGUUUAUGGGGCUAACCAGCCCUCCAACAACCGCUAAACCUCAAAAACUUUGUUAGGCAAUAAGUAGGGAGUAGAUUUAGCCUACUGAGAAAACCUGGGGUCAUAUAUCUGAUCAAUCCACCGUUUAAAAAAAAGUUCAAUAAACCAUCUGGUCGGCUCACCUUUUCGGCAAUCAUUAAAGGAGCGAUCCAUCAAUACUUUAGCGAGCUCGUUCUCAAAUUAUUGUUGCUGCUCUUGUUUAUCUUUCUAAUAGUUUAAUAUCGUACCAUGUGUUAACUAUGUCCUCCCAAAGUGUAGGUGUCCAACUCUUUGAACCUAUCAUUUGUGCAACCAUGAACUCAAAAUGCUUCCAGCAUCUCAUCUAAAAAUUGCAAGAACCAUCGAUACAAACGGAACUGCUAUUCUUUGUAGUUUCAAAUUAAAAGCUCAAUUAAGAAUACAUCUAUACACUAUACUCGUAUCAAUCUUAGUCCCCCUUUCUUUUUUUUUUCCUUCCUCUAGGUCUUCUUAAACUUUCCAUUUUUUCUCCUGUAUAUUCAUUACAUUUGUCAGGAUUUCAAUUUGUCAUCAACAUGGUAGUAAGUACCCCAUAAAUAGUACUCUCAUAGGGACAGGGUGCAGACAAUUACUCAGUUCAGGAAUGGACUCUAUCACAUGUCUCAUAGUGGUAGGAAUAAUCCUCGAGGUGGCUCGUCGGCCCCAUCCUUGGUCUUGUUGCUAUACUUGUCUCUUCCACUUAGAUAAAAUAGAUAGUUGCCUGUUAAAGGCCACAACUGGUGCUCCAAACCUCAAGCCUAUUCAACUAUUAAAUGAUCAAGUUAGAGCUAUAUGGCUAAUAGAAUAUACAAAUUAGAUUCAUCUAGUUGACCCUAAACGUCACACACGUAAGAAAGAAUGAGAAAGAAAUCCAAGAUACAUCCUAUCACACUCUCGCAGAAUCACGAUUAUAGAAAUGGCCGGCAACAUAACCAUAAUUGAGAUUCUACUACUAUCGUGUGCUCCAUAGACACAGAAUUAACCUAGACUCUCUGAUACAUCAAUAUCAUUAUUUCAUGUAAGCCAAGUGAACCAAUAGUUCAGUAAUAAACUUCGAAAAAUAUCGUAUCAUAUCAAAUAUUACAUAUUUGGGAGUUUUUCAAUAAUGAAUCAUGUAAGCAGUGUGACAUUCUUCUUUAUUAAGAAUAACUCAUAACAGUGGACCCCUCAUAAAAGAGUCAAAUCAUAUCAUCUUAGUGGCCAUUCUUCUUCAUUAAGAAUAAUCCAUAACAGUGGAUCCCUCGUAAAGGAGUCAAAUCAUAUCAGUAUCAGUAUGCUAGUUCUACCUUCCCACUAGCGAGGGCUGUAAUAUUCAUCAGAAAAUACAAGGUGCACCAGGUCUAAUGAUCCCGUCGUUAGCUACGAGAUUCAAAUCAAGGUCUACUCCCAUUUAUAAAUUCUUUGUAAACAAUAGGAUAUUCAUAUGAAAGCAUUUUUCAGAAUAAUACAUAUCAUUUAAAGUUCAUAUCAAAUC